rnacentral:rRNA from 1 species
UGCACCUACGGGAGGCAGCAGUGAGGAAUAUUGGUCAAUGGCCGAGAGGCUGAACCAGCCAAGUCGCGUGAGGGAUGACGGCCCUACGGGUUGUAAACUUCUUUUAUAAAGGAAUAAAACGAGGCACGUGUGCCUUUUUGCAUGUACUUUAUGAAUAAGGAUCGGCUAACUCCGUGCCAGCAGCCGCGGUAAUACGGAGGAUCCGAGCGUUAUCCGGAUUUAUUGGGUUUAAAGGGAGCGUAGAUGGGUUGUUAAGUCAGUUGUGAAAGUUUGCGGCUCAACCGUAAAAUUGCAAUUGAUACUGG